CCCUGGUUAGCUCAGCCAGUAGAGCGCUCUACUGGAAAUGGAGGGGAUCCGGGUUGGAUACCCGGACAAGGCG
rnacentral:tRNA from 1 species